CCUACGGGAGGCUGCAGUGGGGAAUAUUGGACAAUGGGGGGAACCCUGAUCCAGCCAUGCCGCGUGUGUGAAGAAGGCCCUCGGGUUGUAAAGCACUUUCAGUGAGGAAGAACGCCUGGUGGUUAAUACCCAUCAGGAAAGACAUCACUUACAGAAGAAGCACCGGCUAACUCCGUGCCAGCAGCCGCGGUAAUACGGAGGGUGCGAGCGUUAAUCGGAAUUACUGGGCGUAAAGCGCGCGUAGGUGGCUUGAUAAGCCGGUUGCGAAAGCCCCGGGCUCAACCUGGGAACGGCAUCCGGAACUGUCAAGCUAGAGUGCAGGAGAGGAAGGUAGAAUUCCCGGUGUAGCGGUGAAAUGCGUAGAGAUCGGGAGGAAUACCAGUGGCGAAGGCGGCCUUCUGGACUGACACUGGCACUGAGGUGCGAAAGCGUGGGUAGCAAACAGGAUUAGAUACCCUGGUAGUC
rnacentral:rRNA from 1 species